rnacentral:rRNA from 1 species
CAAUAGCGUAUAUUUAAGUUGUUGCAGUUAAAAAGCUCGUAGUUGGAUUUCGGUUGAGAGCGGCCGGUCCGCCGUUUGGUGUGCACUGGCUGGUUUCAACUUCCUGUAGAGGACGUGCUCUGGGUUUAACGACCUGGACUCGGAGUCUACGUGGUUACUUUGAAAAAAUUAGAGUGUUCAAAGCGGGCUUACGCUUGAAUAUUUCAGCAUGGAAUAACACUAUAGGACUCCUGUCCUAUUUCGUUGGUCUCGGGACGGGAGUAAUGAUUAAGAGGAACAGUUGGGGGCAUUCGUAUUUCAUUGUCAGAGGUGAAAUUCUUGGAUUUAUGAAAGACGAACUUCUGCGAAAGCAUUUGCCAAGGGUGUUUUCAUUAA